rnacentral:rRNA from 1 species
GACGAACGCUGGCGGCGUGCUUAACACAUGCAAGUCGAGCGGUAAGGCCCUUUCGGGGGGUACACGAGCGGCGAACGGGUGAGUAACACGUGGGUGACCUGCCCUCAGCUCUGGGAUAAGCCUGGGGAAACUGGGUCUAAUACUGGAUAUGACUCCACGGUGCAUGUCGUGGGGGUGGAAAGCCUUGUGCGGCUGAGGGAUGGGGCCCCGCGGCCUAUCAGCUUGUUGGUGGGGNG